GACGAACGCUGGCGGCGUGCUUAACACAUGCAAGUCGAACGGAAGGGCCCUGCUUUUGUGGGGUGCUCGAGUGGCGAACGGGUGAGUAACACGUGAGUAACCUGCCCUUGACUUUGGGAUAACUUCAGGAAACUGGGGCUAAUACAGGAUAGAAGCUCCUGCUGCAUGGUGGGGGUUGGAAAGUUUCGGCGGUUGGGGAUGGACUCGCGGCUUAUCAGCUGGUUGGUGGGGUAGUGGCUUACCAAGCCUUUGACGGGUAGCCGGCCUGAGAGGGUGACCGGCCACAAUGGGACUGAGAGACGGCCCAGACUGCUACGGGAGGCAGCAGGGGGGAAUAUUGCACAAUGGGCGGAAGCCUGAUGCAGCAACGCCGCGUGCGGGAUGACGGCCUUCGGGUUGUAAACCGCUUUCGCCUGUGACGAAGCGUGAGUGACGGUAAUGUGUAAAGAAGCACCGGCUAACUACGUG
rnacentral:rRNA from 1 species